rnacentral:rRNA from 1 species
GACAGAGGAUGCAAGCGUUAUCCGGAAUGAUUGGGCGUAAAGCGUCUGUAGGUGGCUUUUUAAGUCCGCCGUCAAAUCCCAGGGCUCAACCCUGGACAGGCGGUGGAAACUACCAAGCUGGAGUACGGUAGGGGCAAUGGAAUUCCCGGUGUAGUGGUGGAAUGCGUAGAUAUCGGGAGGAACACCAGUGGCGAAGGCGGUUGCCUGGGGCUUUGCUGACGCUGAUGCGCGAAAGCGUGGGGAGCGAGUCCGG